rnacentral:rRNA from 1 species
UACGUAGGGGCUAGCGUUAUCCGGAGUUACUGGGCGUAAAGGGUGCGUAGGUGGUUUCUUAAGUCAGAGGUGAAAGGCUACGGCUCAACCGUAGUAAGCCUUUGAAACUGAGAAACUUGAGUGCAGGAGAGGAGAGUAGAAUUCCUAGUGUAGCGGUGAAAUGCGUAGAUAUUAGGAGGAAUACCAGUUGCGAAGGCGGCUCUCUGGACUGUAACUGACACUGAGGCACGAAAGCAUGGGGAGCAAACAGGAUUAGAUACCCUGGUAGUCCCU